rnacentral:rRNA from 1 species
AGAGUUUGAUCCUGGCUCAGGAUGAACGCUAGCGGCAGGCUUAACACAUGCAAGUCGAGGGGUAGGGUAGCAAUAUCUGAGACCGGCGCACGGGUGCGUAACGCGUAUGGAACCUGGCCUUUUCAGGGGGAUAGCCCGGAGAAAUCCGGAUUAAUACCCCAUAAUACUUUAGAAAGCAUUUUCUGAAGUUGAAAGCUCCGGCGGAAAAGGAUGGCCAUGCGUGACAUUAGCUAGACGGCGGGGUAACGGCCCACCGUGGCAACGAUGUCUAGGGGUUCUGAGAGGACUGACCCCCACACUGGUACUGAGACACGGACCAGACUCCUACGGGAGGCAGCAGUGAGGAAUAUUGGUCAAUGGGCGAAAGCCUGAACCAGCCAUGCCGCGUGCAGGACGACUGCCCUAUGGGUUGUAAACUGCUUUUGCAGGGGAGGAACCGGCGGUACGAGUACCGCUCUGACAGUACCCUGCGAAUAAGGAUCGGCUAACUCCGUGCCAGCAGCCGCGGUAAUACGGAGGAUCCGAGCGUUAUCCGGAUUUAUUGGGUCUAAAGGGAGCGCAGGCGGGGGCGUAAGUCAGCGGUGAAAUCUACGGGCUCAACUCGUAAACUGCCGUUGAUACUGCAUCCCUUGAGUACGUGUGGGGCUGGCGGAAUGCGACAAGUAGCGGUGAAAUGCAUAGAUAUGUCGCAGAACACCGAUCGCGAAGGCAGCUGGCCAACACGAAACUGACGCUGAGGCUCGAAAGCAUGGGGAUCAAACAGGAUUAGAUACCCUGGUAGUCCAUGCCGUAAACGAUGAUAGCUGGGUGCCCGGAGCUUGCCUCUGGGUGCCUGAGGGAAACCAUUAAGCUAUCCACCUGGGGAGUACGCCGGCAACGGUGAAACUCAAAGGAAUUGACGG